AUGAACCUUGCUGAAAAUGGCGUGUCCUAUUAUGGUCGGUUAUCUGACAUCUUCGAAUUGUCAUACAAAGAUUACAAGGUGGUCUUCUUUAAAUGUUAUUGGUAUGAUGUUCAUCACAAAGCUGGUAUUAUAAGAGAUGAGUUUGGAUUCACUCAUGUGAACUUCUCCCGAAAAAUACAUACAGGGGAGAAGUUAGAGGAUGAACCUUUUGUAUUUUCUUCCCAAGUGGAUCAGGUCUUCUAUAUCCAAAAUCCGAGAAGUGAGAAUUGGAAUAGCAUGGUGAAAUUCAAACCUCGUGAUAUUUUUGACAUGGGUGGAGAACCAUCUUCAGAUGAAACAGAGUAG
rnacentral:rRNA from 1 species